rnacentral:lncRNA from 1 species
GUGUGUAUACAUGGAAUUGAUUAAAAAAGAAACUGCAGUAAACAAUACAUAUCGGCCUUCUAAUGUCGAAACAAUACAUAUCGGCAUUCCAACCCAUGAUAUUAGGGUUUUGAGAUUUAGGUUUGUUAAUUUUGUAUGGUAAGUAUUUGGAGACUAAUUUAGUUUGCAUGUCUACAUAAGCUCGAUUGGCAUGUUUAGGGUUUAGAGAUCAUAUCGCGUCAAUGGCAUUCAUCAGAAACCAUAAAAUAUGAAUUUUAGAAACCCAUGUGAUUAAAAUCAAAUUAUAUUUUUGAACAACACCAAAGUUUAACUUCAAAUUUUGAAAUUCGGUGAAACAAAUGAGAAAGACUUUUAGUUACAAGAGUAUAUCAUUGACUUAUUUACAAGUAUAUCAUUUGUUUUUACAAGUAUAACAAAUCAAUGAAUAUACAAGUACAUACAUAUGUUUAAAGUAUCUGAUAUCAUGAGGGAAAUUGUUUAGUAUCUCCGAUUCCAGUCAAACUUCUUGUGAAGUUUAGGAUAUACUCGAUUUUGAUGAUAUAUGCCAUCAUCUUUAGCAAUAUAGCUAUAUGUGUCUCCGUGAAGCUCUCUAUUGUCCUCCACAUAGGCAUCAAACUUUGACGAGAUCUUAUAAUCAGGUCCUUUGCUCAGGGUGCACCAGAAAAGCGUGUUUCCCAUAAAGUUAUCGUGGAAACUGAAAUAGUAGAUUCCCUCCUGUUUCAGAUAGUGGACACCCAUAUCGUUGUUCCCUGAUUUACAAUGUACCUUGAGCCAUUUCUUGUAACGAAGUCCGUUCACGAACAAGAGUGUUGUAUUGGCCCGUUGAAAUAUAUUUGCACCUACAUUGCCGAUCAUGCAAAGGGUAAGAACAAAUAGAAAGAAUGAAGUAUUUUUCAUUUUUUUUUCUUUCUUUCUAGAUGUUUUAGAUAUAUAUUUAUGUAUUGUUAAAACUCGUGUUUGUGUUUUUGGUGUUAUAUAUACACAUAGUAUUGCUAUUUUUGAGUUUUUACAUUAUCUUCUUACUCUAUUAUUGGAAGUUUUCUAUUAAUGAUUUUAUCUAGUCGUUUCGAAAAAAUAGAUUGAUCCCAUCAAGUUUUCAAGAUUUUUUCCAAUGGCCUCCUCCCUAUUUAGGUAUGUUCCUCUCUUGUUGGUCAAGUUUGUUUUAUAGACUCUCGUUUUAAUCGAGUUAAGUUUAAUACAAUGUAGAAACAUUAAACUAGAUUGUACGAAUAUAGAUAAUAAUGGAAACAUAAUAAUAUAAGCAUGGAGAAAAUAUAGAAAUUAAAUGGGAUGAUGAGAGACGAUAUAACAAUAGGUAAGAGAAACAUCAAAAUGGUAUAGAAGCAAGCACACCAACAAAAUAGCCCUUUACAAGAAGAAAAAAAAAAUUGAACAAUAGUUCGUGAUGGUGGUCGUUGUAGAGUAUUUCACUUCUCAGAUUAUGUUAACGUGAAUAAAGACAGACUAUCGAUCACUAUUCUUCUAGUUCUCCGAAGCCUUGUCUCGAGCUGCAAAGAUGAUGCAGAAAUCAUCUAAAAAUGAAAGUUAUAAGUAGAUUAUAUUAUCCCAUUCCCAUAUCAAAUAUUGUUUUGACAAUCUUUUUUUUAACACUGAUAUCAUCUCUACUUUCUUGUGUGUGUUUUUGGGUUUAUGUUAUGACGUUAUUAUUUAAUUUGUCUUAGACUAUUUCUAAUGUAUUUUGCUAUAUUCUCUUCUAAAAUAGAGAAUCUCUAUAAUAAAGAUGAAAUUUGCUUCAAUGUAUUCUUCUAAUCUUCAAAAUAUAGAAUAAAGAAUAGAAAUUGCUAUUUCUUCCUCUAAAUAUAGAAAAAAAAUACUAGCAAUUUCUAUUUUAAAAGAAGAAAUAGCCGUGGAUUGAAGUGAAAUUAUUCUAAAUGCUAGAUGCUCUUAAGAGAAUCUGAAAACGGUAAAAAAGACUACCACAUGCAUAUACCUGACUAUAUUUAAAAUUUAUAAAUAGUAUUCAUUGCAUGUAACUUAGAGCUUAUUAAUAAAUCUGGGUUGGAAUUGUAUGUUAAGUGUUUGGAGAUUGAUUUAGUUCGCAUAUGCUAAAUUGGCUUGUUAAGGGUUUUGAGAUCAUUUCGCGUCACGAUCUAAUGAAGAAACGAUAGAAAAAUUAUAACUUUUAGAAAAUAUAUACUGAAUAACACCAAAGUUUAAUUUAUAAAUUUUAAAUACAAUGAAACAAAUAAGAACAACUUUAACAAGUAUAUCAUUUAUACAUUUACAAGUAUAUCACUGGUUUUUACAAGUAUAACAAAUAAAUGGUUUUAAUAUAUAAGUACAUAUAUUGAAAACAUCUGAUAACACGGGAGAUUUAGUUUGUGAUCUCUAUUUCCAGUCAAACUUCUUGUGAAGUUUAAAUUCCACAAGAUUACUGUGAUAGAUGCCAUCAUCUUUAGCAAGAUAGUUAUAUGACUUUCCGUGAGCCUUAUCAUUGUUCUGUUUAUAGGCGUCAAACCUAGAAGAGACCUUAUAAUCAGGUCCUUUGCUCAGGGUACACCAGAUAAGCGUACCCCCGAAAACGUUGUCGUGGACACUGAAUGUGUAAUCGAUUCCACCCGGUUUCAGAUAGUGGACACCCAUAUCGUCGUUCCCUGAUUUACAAUGUACUUUGAGCCAUUUCUUGUAACUAAGGCCGUUCCUGAAAUAGAGUGUUGUCUUCUCCCCUUUCAAUAAAUUGCCACCAUAUACAUUGUCGAUCAUGCAAAGUGUAAAAACAAAUAGAAAGAUUGAAAUAUUUUUCAUUUUUUUGUUUCUUUCUUUCUUUCUAGAUGUUUUAGAUAUAUAUAUAUUUUUCGUAUUGUUAAAACUUGUGUAUUGUGUUUGUGUUUUAUGGUGUUAUAUAUACACGUAGGUAUUGCUAUUUUUGAGGUUUUUUAACAUUAUCUUCUUGCUCUAUAAUUGGAAUUUUCUAUUAAAAAUUUAGGUGUAUCAAGUCGUUUCAAAUCAAUAGAUUAAUGUCGAUGGCCGGCUAUCCAUCCUCUCUAUUUAGCUAUGUUCCUCUCUUAUUAGUCAAGUUUGUUUUACAGCCUCUCUCUCUUAUUAGUCAAGUUGCAAAUAUGGUAGAAACCAUAAAACUAGAUUGAAUUUACGUUCUAAGGCAGAAAUAAUAUUGAAAACAGAUAUAAAACACGCACGCAUUAACCUAUUUAAUUAUUAGCGUACAAUUUACACCGAAAAAAUAAUAAUAAUAAUGCAGAUCCGGUUUAUCUCGGUUCGGUUUGUAUUAAACCUGGUCUCGAUCUACAGUUGUGAUUCGACCCUAAUGGUUAGACAAUAAGCUUAACCAUAUAAAUACAAAGAUAGAAAAAAAGAAAGAAAGAAGGAAACAGCUGAUCAAAAAUCAUCGACUCCCUGUUUCAGCUCCGGUAAGUUUCUCAUCUUCCUUUCUUCUCCUGUUCUUCAGACUGAGUUCAUUAAUCUAAGAGCUUGGUCUUUGAUUUAAACCGGUCCAUAGAUUCAAUUUUGUCUAACCAACGAUUUAAACCGGUUUAUUCCUCUGUGUAUAAAAAAAGAAGAAACAAAUAUUCUUGAUCGUUUCUUAUGCCCUAAGACUUUAGUGAGCUCUCUUACUUGUUGAUUACGUUUGGAGAAGCGAUUGUUUCGAAAUUGAUUGAUAUUUGGUGUGAUCAUCAGAUUUUUGAAGAGGGAGGAUGGAGAUGCAUAACAUUGUGGACUCAUUGAACAAAGCUUACGAGAAGUUUGUCAUUGCCUCAGCUAAUGUUCUUGAGUCCAAAGAGAGUGCUGGCGGGGAAAAAAAGCUACUCUCACUGAUGCUGCAUUAGAAGAUUUCAAGGAGGAGUGGGAGCUCUUCCGCGUGGCUUGUGAUCAAGCUGAGGAGUUUGUGAAGCAGAGGAUUGGGUCUGAGUGUUUAGUUGAUGAGGCUACUGGUUUAACAACGAGAAACUCAGGAGGCCAAAGUGUUGGUGCUGCGACUAGUCUCUCUCCCAUUAGUGCAGUAAGGCUGGAACAGAUGAGUAGAGCGGUUAGAUGGCUUGUGUUUGAGCUGCAACGUGGGUCUGGUGUAGCUGCUGGUUCUUUGCAUUCUUCCUCUAACGGGUUUGAUCCUAGAUUACCCUGAAGACUCAGACUCAAUAGAAUGCUUCCCUAAUUAACAAAUACACAUAUCACUUUGUGAGCUAAAACUGCAGCUGUUUAACUCUUGAGUCUGUUAUGAGGGAGGCUUUGUACUUGGUUGAAGAGUUCGCCUAAUCAGUUUUAUACACUGACAAAGCAAGAAGCAACACUUGUUUGUUUGAUCUGUAGGACUUGUGAGUGUUAACCAAAUUUUUUGCAUUUAGUUCUGAAUCUCAAGUAGAGAUAGACUGGGUUUUGCUGUAAUUCAUCAAUCAUCAUAGACAUUUUUGUUUGUUAAUCUGCUUUUAUAUUUUGUAUUGAAUCAUGUUUAUCCCGAACCGGUUUCCAUAGCUAAAGUCUUGAUAAAAGCGAAAAAGAAUGUGAUUCACAAGAAAACGAAAAGUUAGGUUUGAGAUUGUUUAAGCGCAAAAAGAAAUGUGACAGAUUGGUAUUCUGCUUAGUAGACAGUAAAAAACCAAGAUAACAAAACUGAUGUAUGCACAAACGUAAAUUACUGUUUAUAUUCAAAUGAAUGAUAGAAGCUUUGACCAUGCAAUGAACUGAUAUUAUAGACAGGAACGCUUUGGUCUAGAAUAUAAAGUCCAUUCUCUAAUAGACCGCUACCAUAAAAGAUAUCAUUACGAUCAAAGGAACAACACUUGGUUUUGAUCGAAAACUGAAAUCUUUCCAAAUCCAAAGAAGGAAUGGAAAUAAUAUUCCUACUUAUAGCAGGUACAUAAUAGCAAUUCGUAAGUUCUAAAACCAAGUCUGAAGGUAAAGAUAAAUGAAAUGUUCCCACGGCUAAUGCAGAAAUUCUUGCUCCAUUUCCCACUCGUAGGUCCACUUGACCUUUCUCCAAAAUUCUACUAUUGCUUAGGCCAUUCAUAUUCGUACAAAUAUGAGCACCACAACCGGUAUCCAAUACCCAUGAAGUAGAACCAGAAGUAGUAACAUUUACUUCUAUAACAUAAAUACCUCUAGGCGAUGUUUCAAAAGUCUUUUUCUUUUUCAGAUCUUCCAAGUAGGUUUUAAACUCUUGUUUGAGAACAAUUCUCGGGUUUUGAUACCAUUGGAGGAAAUUUGAUCCAUUCAAUUUGUCCUUUUUAAGGGCAUGUUGGAAUGAAAAUGGGUCGUGAGGAGUUAACAUGCUGGAAUAGAAGAAUAUCGAAUAUUAAUAUGAUGUUCAUGAAUUAGAGAAAUCUCAACAAUAAAGAAAACUCAUAUUAUAUUCAAACAAUUUCCUCAAAUGAAUAUAAUAAUCCAAGAUCCAUAUUUCACUAAAAUUCGAGUGAGCUUUGGCUCACCGCCAGAAUGUUUAGCUAUUUAGGUAAGCAACACUUUGCUAAUUAUAUCAAAUAUAAUUUGUGGUUGUCAGAUGACAUCUUAUGUCUUAUCCAACCUAUGUCUCUAAGCCCAAAACCGUUUUGAUAGCCUAGUCACGUAAACCAAUCUUAUAUUCAUAUGGUAACCGUUUAAGGGCAUGUUGGAAUGAAAAUGGGUCGUGAGGAGUUAACAUGCUGGAAUAGAAGAAUAUCGAAUAUUAAUAUGAUGUUCAUGAAUUAGAGAAAUCUCAACAAUAAAGAAAACUCAUAUUAUAUUCAAACAAUUUCCUCAAAUGAAUAUAAUAAUCCAAGAUCCAUAUUUCACUAAAAUUCGAGUGAGCUUUGGCUCACCGCCAGAAUGUUUAGCUAUUUAGGUAAGCAACACUUUGCUAAUUAUAUCAAAUAUAAUUUGUGGUUGUCAGAUGACAUCUUAUGUCUUAUCCAACCUAUGUCUCUAAGCCCAAAACCGUUUUGAUAGCCUAGUCACGUAAACCAAUCUUAUAUUCAUAUGGUAACCGUUACCAUCUACCUCACUUAUGUUGCAGACACCUUGCUUUGGCAAGCCCAUCUUACAAUGAAACAAGCCUUGAUAGUUGAUAAGAUUGGGUAGACAUCAAAAGUACUUGAAAUUAAUCGAGGAACAAAUUUUAAUUCAAUUUUAACUUAUAUUUAAAAUUUAUAUCUAAUAUAAAUAUAAAUAUAGCUAAUACAUAUCUUACAUGUAUUUUAAUUGAAUUAGAUAAUUAAAUUAAUUUUAUCUAAUUAAAAUAAUUAAUUAUUUCUAUAUUUGAUUUUAGAAUUUAAGCUAAUUAAAAUCUGAUCAAACGACCAACCCAAUUGGACCAAAUCAAUUGUAUCAAACAACCUAAACCAAUCGUUGGUUCAAUUGGUAUAGACACAUCUCAUAUGUGUUUUAGGUUUUAGAAACACACAUUCAAGUAUUACAAUAAUACGAUUGCCUCUUGAAAUUAUAUGUAUGCAACAUGCAACUUCUAUACAACAUGAACAAGAUCAUCACAUGACAACGCGUAAAUCUAGAUAUUUUUAAUCAGUUAAUUAUAAUAAUUGGAUUGAUCACAUCAAACAAAACUAUUAUGAAUUAACAAAUAACCAUGCGUCUUUCAAUUAAGAGUAGCACUAACGCUUAAUGGUUAUUUUAACAACAUAUUUCUCUUACGCACGAAUCAGAUUAAUUACGCUUCUGCGAAAUUGAUAACUACGCCAAUUUAAUUAUCGUUGAAACUAUAAGAUUAUUUAUCUAUACCAAAUUAUAGACUAAAUAAGAUCUGAUUUCAAUAUUCAGCAAGUAGGCUCUGAUACCACUAUUGGAAUUCAUACCGGUUUAUAACAAUUUAUAAAUCAACUUAUGACUUUAGUUUGCCUAGAUCUCAUGAAAAUACUGAAAUAAAUCUAGAUCUCAGGGUUCCAAAUAUAUAUGGUUAUUCACAGCGGAAAGAUAAUAAACCAAAUCGAAAUUUCUAAUACUCCAAACGUCGUGCCUCUACCAGUAUCCACACGCACACAAAUUGGAUCGAUACAGAAUGCUAGUGCCUUUGAGAUCAAAUCUCAAAUACUUGACAAACUCUUUUGUCUCUCUUAAGGUUUUAUUUAGUCGGCCAUUUUCUUAUCUGUCGAUCAAGUCACUUACGUGACCCUUUAUAAUCAUAUGACCAGAAGUUAAUGGGCCAAGCCCAAGUGAUAAUUAUCACUUCUUAACUCACGUUGCCCAUCACAUGCAUAUAAGUAUAUCACGUGAAUAUUAUAUAUAUCAUACAUAUAAUAUAAAUGUAUAAAACCCCAAAUAUUCAUGAUCCAAUUUGCGGUAUAUGACCCUGUAGGAUCAUAUAAUAUUAGUAAUGAAUUCCUAAUUCAUAGAUUAUAAUCGGUUUCUAGCAAAACAUUAUAACCACCUAAUAUUAUAUGAUUGUCGAAUCUUAACUCUACGAGUUUAACAAGAGUAAGUGCAAAUGAUUUUAGAACAUUCCCAACUAUAUCCACGCACAACAGACGGCACUAUCUCAAACAUAUAUUACAUGAUUCAUAUAAUUGUCAAAACAAACAGUUUCCUGGUCAGCUCACCUGAUACUCGAGUAGUGGCUUUAGUGCUUUACACAUUUCGGUUUGCAAGAUUCCUCGAGGUACUUCUUUUUUUCUUGCAUAAGAUUUGAAAAUGUAAUCAUGAAUGAGUUGUAUGUAAAAUUUGACAAAGCUAUAAACUUGAAAGAAGAAGAACAACGAUAGGUUGGUUCAUUGUGACCUUAUGGGUUGAAAUAGAAAGACCGAAUAAAAUUUAAAAGUGCACCUAAAGUCGUUUUCCCCUGCCCGGCCUCAAAGUAAAAAAAAUCAAACAUGGCAAGCAUUGCUAGCCUGGAGUGCUAAUGUUUUUUUUGCGAAGAAGGUUGUAAGAACAACAUAGACCAUCCAAGAGCAAAAUCUCUCAAAGACUUUAGAACGCUUCAAAUGCAUUACAAACGAAAGCACGAAUUGUGGAAGUGCAACUAAAAUGUUGGAAGCUGCGUGUGCCAAAAAGAGCUACAUAGAUUUGGAAGCCGAGAAGGAGAAUUGACAAUUAACCAUGUGAUUAAAAUCAAAUUAUAUUUUUGAACAACACCAAAGUUUAACUUCAAAUUUUGAAAUUCGGUGAAACAAAUGAGAAAGACUUUUAGUUACAAGAGUAUAUCAUUGACUUAUUUACAAGUAUAUCAUUUGUUUUUACAAGUAUAACAAAUCAAUGAAUAUACAAGUACAUACAUAUGUUUAAAGUAUCUGAUAUCAUGAGGGAAAUUGUUUAGUAUCUCCGAUUCCAGUCAAACUUCUUGUGAAGUUUAGGAUAUACUCGAUUUUGAUGAUAUAUGCCAUCAUCUUUAGCAAUAUAGCUAUAUGUGUCUCCGUGAGGCUCUCUAUUGUCCUCCACAUAGGCAUCAAACUUUGACGAGAUCUUAUAAUCAGGUCCUUUGCUCAGGGUGCACCAGAAAAGCGUGUUUCCCAUAAAGUUAUCGUGGAAACUGAAAUAGUAGAUUCCCUCCUGUUUCAGAUAGUGGACACCCAUAUCGUUGUUCCCUGAUUUACAAUGUACCUUGAGCCAUUUCUUGUAACGAAGUCCGUUCACGAACAAGAGUGUUGUAUUGGCCCGUUGAAAUAUAUUUGCACCUACAUUGCCGAUCAUGCAAAGGGUAAGAACAAAUAGAAAGAAUGAAGUAUUUUUCAUUUUUUUUUCUUUCUUUCUAGAUGUUUUAGAUAUAUAUUUA